rnacentral:lncRNA from 1 species
GUCCACUUUAAAGUUCCUAAAUUGUGUAUCUUUAGAUUAUAAAUGGCAUCAUUGCAUUUUGUAUGUAUUUCAAAGUUAUUGUUCUUUUAAAGGUUUCUUCUCUCGUGAUUUCAACCAUUCUGGAUGUGUCACAAGUCAACCUGCCCUUCGUCUUAGAUUUGGCCUCGUCUACAACGCUGUGCCACUGCUUGGAGCACCCACAAAGAGGAUGCUCAUUUGAGACAGGGUCUCUCUAUGUUGCCUAGGCUGUUCUUGAACUCCUGGUCCCAAGGGAUCUGCCUGUCUCGGCUUCUCAAAAUGCUGGGAUUACAGGCAUGAGCCACUGAGCCUGGCCGGAGAUGUGUCACUUGAAGCAAGCACUUCCAGACUCUUCCGUGUUGCUCCACUGUUUCUCUUUUCCCGUGCUAUAAGACCUGCAGCCCAGGUCCUGGCUGCUCCUUCUACCUUGGUCCUGAGUGAAGAGGUCUUGCAGCAGAGGGUGAUGACCAACCUGUGAUGAUCAUGAAGGUGAGUGAGAAGUGAGCCUUUGCUGUUGGAAGCCUCUGAGGUUUGGGGUCGCCUCUCCCUGCAGCAUCCUCAGCCUGCACUGUGACCCUCUAUUUGCUUCUAUCUCCUGCCCUAGAUUGUGAACAACUUGGUAGCAGGGACUGGGCCUUUCAACAGCUACUUAUGUGGUGAUCUCUGUGUGACAAGCACUGUGCUAGAUCUUUAGGAUACAGAGAUGAAAGAUUGGUCCAUGACCUUGAACCUCCCAGUCCGAUGGGACCCACCCACAUGGCAAUGAUG